CCUGUCACCUUUUCUGAAGAGGACCGGAAGUGGAGUUUCUGACCUAUUGCGGCCCAAUCGAGCCCCGCGCCCAUGGGGGCCCUGCACAGCCGCAUCACAGCAAGAGCAAGGAUUUGCUGCCUUUCUCCCUCACCAAUGUUUCCAUAUGCGCGCAGUAACACUGACCCGAUGAACUGCUCUGAAGCUCACCCCAGGGCAGUAUCUGUUUUCUUUUUUUUUUUUCUGUUCGCUGGCUUUAUAAAUAGUAGCAGAUUUAUUACACUGCCUUAUGAAUUGUAAGCCUUUCCUUGCUAG